rnacentral:rRNA from 1 species
AUGCAAGUCGAGCGGAAACGAGUUAUCUGAACCUUCGGGGGACGAUAACGGCGUCGAGCGGCGGACGGGUGAGUAAUGCCUAGGAAAUUGCCCUGAUGUGGGGGAUAACCAUUGGAAACGAUGGCUAAUACCGCAUAAUGCCUACGGGCCAAAGAGGGGGACCUUCGGGCCUCUCGCGUCAGGAUAUGCCUAGGUGGGAUUAGCUAGUUGGUGAGGUAAUGGCUCACCAAGGCGACGAUCCCUAGCUGGUCUGAGAGGAUGAUCAGCCACACUGGAACUGAGACACGGUCCAGACUCCUACGGGAGGCAGCAGUGGGGAAUAUUGCACAAUGGGCGCAAGCCUGAUGCAGCCAUGCCGCGUGUGUGAAGAAGGCCUUCGGGUUGUAAAGCACUUUCAGUCGUGAGGAAGGUGGURGWGUUAAUAGCWGUAUCAUUUGACGUUAGCGACAGAAGAAGCACCGGCUAACUCCGUGCCAGCAGCCGCGGUAAUACGGAGGGUGCGAGCGUUAAUCGGAAUUACUGGGCGUAAAGCGCAUGCAGGUGGUUUGUUAAGUCAGAUGUGAAAGCCCGGGGCUCAACCUCGGAAUAGCAUUUGAAACUGGCAGACUAGAGUACUGUAGAGGGGGGUAGAAUUUCAGGUGUAGCGGUGAAAUGCGUAGAGAUCUGAAGGAAUACCGGUGGCGAAGGCGGCCCCCUGGACAGAUACUGACACUCAGAUGCGAAAGCGUGGGGAGCAAACAGGAUUAGAUACCCUGGUAGUCCACGCCGUAAACGAUGUCUACUUGGAGGUUGUGGCCUUGAGCCGUGGCUUUCGGAGCUAACGCGUUAAGUAGACCGCCUGGGGAGUACGGUCGCAAGAUUAAAACUCAAAUGAAUUGACGGGGGCCCGCACAAGCGGUGGAGCAUGUGGUUUAAUUCGAUGCAACGCGAAGAACCUUACCUACUCUUGACAUCCAGAGAACUUUCCAGAGAUGGAUUGGUGCCUUCGGGAACUCUGAGACAGGUGCUGCAUGGCUGUCGUCAGCUCGUGUUGUGAAAUGUUGGGUUAAGUCCCGCAACGAGCGCAACCCUUAUCCUUGUUUGCCAGC